rnacentral:rRNA from 1 species
CAGUCGCCACGGUAAUACGGAGGGCGCGAGCGUUACCCGGAUUUACUGGGCGUAAAGGGCGUGUAGGCGGCCUGGGGCGUCCCAUGUGAAAGGCCACGGCUCAACCGUGGAGGAGCGUUGGAUACGCUCAGGCUAGAGGGUGGGAGAGGGUGGUGGAAUUCCCGGAGUAGCGGUGAAAUGCGCAGAUACCGGGAGGAACGCCGAUGGCGAAGGCAGCCACCCGGUCCACUUCUGACGCUGAGGCGCGAAAGCGUGGGGAGCAAACCGGAUUAGAGACCCCAGUAGUCCCUGUCUCUUAUAA